rnacentral:rRNA from 1 species
UACGGAGGAUGCGAGCGUUAUCCGGAUUUAUUGGGUUUAAAGGGUGCGUAGGCGGACUGUCAAGUCAGCGGUAAAAUACGGGGGCUCAACCCCGCUCCGCCGUUGAAACUGUGUCCCUUGAGUGCGCGAAGGGUAGGCGGAAUGCGUGGUGUAGCGGUGAAAUGCUUAGAUAUCGCGCAGAACCCCGAUUGCGAAGGCAGCGUACCGGCUCCACACUGACGCUGAGGCACGAAAGCGUGGGUAUCGAACAGG